rnacentral:rRNA from 1 species
GACGAACGCUGGCGGCGUGCUUAACACAUGCAAGUCGAACGAAGAGCGAUGGAAGCUUGCUUCUAUCAAUCUUAGUGGCGAACGGGUGAGUAACGCGUAAUCAACCUGCCCUUCAGAGGGGGACAACAGUUGGAAACGACUGCUAAUACCGCAUACGAUCUAAUCUCGGCAUCGAGGAUAGAUGAAAGGUGGCCUCUACAUGUAAGCUAUCACUGAAGGCGGGGAUUGCGUCUGAUUAGCUAGUUGGAGGGGUAACGGCCCACCAAGGCGAUGAUCAGUAGCCGGUCUGAGAGGAUGAACGGCCACAUUGGGACUGAGACACGGCCCAGACCCCUACGGGAGGCAGCAGUGGGGAAUCUUCCGCAAUGGACGAAAGUCUGACGGAGCAACGCCGCGUGAGUGAUGACGGCCUUCGGGUUGUAAAGCUCUGUUAAUCGGGACGAAAGGCCUUCUUGCGAAUAGUGAGAAGGAUUGACGGUACCGGAAUAGAAAGCCACGGCUAACUACGUG